rnacentral:lncRNA from 1 species
GAUCAACCUUGAAUAUUGUAUAUUCAGUAAGCAACUAUAUGCAGCAGUAGUUUAAUCAACAACAACAAACAAAAAUUUCCCACUAACAUGCAUCUGCUGCAUUGAUCUAUGUUACUCUCUUUCAGGUGCCCUGACAUUAGGCUAAAACACUUUGAAACUGCAUAACUAUCACGAAGGAAGGUUAUAAAUUUGAAACAAUGUUUACCACAAAGGUUAUACUUUGAACCUUACACUUUGAAGGGUUUCAUUAGGUAUAAUAAAAAGGAUAAAAACUUAUGUAAUUAUUUAGAAAAAGUACAAUGGUUGUAUCAGUAUUUCAUCCAAAACGGAAGGUUUCGACUAAGAAACUGCAUAACUAUCACGAAGGAAGGUUAUAAAUUUGAAACAAUGUGGCGAAAGCAAAACAUCAACAUUUCCUCUUUGCAAAUGAAUUAAAACUACAGAAGCUUAUAUAUACCACUAUAUUGUUGAAUUAUCUCUACCAUUAUUGUUUAUCAUCAGGACUCUGAUCCUCCC